rnacentral:rRNA from 1 species
GACGGAGGGUGCAAGCGUUAUCCGGAUUCACUGGGUUUAAAGGGUGCGUAGGAGGGCAGGUAAGUCAGUGGUGAAAUCCUGGGGCUCAACCCCAGAACUGCCGUUGAUACUAUCUGUCUUGAAUAUGGUGGAGGUGAGCGGAAUAUGUCAUGUAGCGGUGAAAUGCUUAGAUAUGACAUAGAACACCAAUUGCGAAGGCAGCUCGCUACACCUAUAUUGACUCUGAGGCACGAAAGCGUGGGGAGCAAACAGG